UACGUAGGUGGCGAGCGUUGUCCGGAUUUAUGGGCGUAAAGCGCGUGUAGGCGGCCAGGUAGGUCCGUUGUGAAAACUCGAGGCUCAACCUCGAGCUGUCGACGGAAACCGCGUGGCUAGAGUCCGGAAGAGGAGAGUGGAAUUCCUGGUGUAGCGGUGAAAUGCGCAGAUAUCAGGAAGAACACCAAUGGCGAAGGCAGCUCUCUGGGACGGUACUGACGCUGAGACGCGAAAGCGUGGGGAGCAAACAGG
rnacentral:rRNA from 1 species